UGUUCAUUUCUAAAUAUGCUCAGUUUGUCAAUCUGAAACUAAUUGAAGAACAAAGUGGAACCAGCUGUAAUUCAUUAACCUGUGCACAUUAUAUUUUCACCCUGGGGUGGAGAAAUCACGGGGCUGCAGUAGAGAUGGUGGUUUUCUGUACUUGCACCAUCCUACUGUGACAAAAGUUACCCGCAGCAGAUUUGACUGACACUGUCGGACUCCCCCUGCCUCUAGGACCAUAGAUAACAAAAUUGGCUCCUGUUUCUCUGGCUAAAUGUGUGUUAUUCCAUUAUAUAUGCCCUGUUCUUCCCUCUGUAGUCCGCUCUUUCCCUUUAUCUGUUCUUCUUUGUUCCUCCCACCGUUGGCUCUUUUAUCUUUCCAUCCGACUCACAGGAACGAUCUGACCACUACUUUACUGCUGGCUACACUUAUUCACUAACUGCCGCGUGGGUUCGUAUCUGCACAACCUCUUAACUUCCUGCAGAUCUGUUCGUUUUCAUCACUUUGUUUUCGAUAGAAGUACAACAUUUAAUGUACCUACGGGCAAUAAUUGCCUCUCUUAUCCAGUGACCACAUUUGAAUUCACUCAACAGCACUUGAGGUUUGAGAAAAAACAACAACAUUAAAAACAAGUGAUACCACCAGUGUAACUUUGGCACGGGAUCACCAGUCCUUUGGUAGAAAGUUCUGUGUUAUAAUGACCUAACCUCCCUUCCAAACUAUAUGAGCCUUUUCUACGUCAUCCUAGUCCUGGAGGUUUUUCUGUGAGCGUCUGAUAAUGCAUUUGGAUAGGAUGGCAUCGUAGUCACUGAAGAGCCAGUGAGUCUCAUGCAUUCACUGAAGGGUGUGACAAAGCUGUGGUAUUUGACAAAUGAAAACGGGCUGAUUGUUUCUAAUAUCAACAUGUCUCGGUGGGGGCAGCGGCAGUCUAAAAUAGCCUCAGAUACAUGGUCAUAUAACCCAUCUCAUGCUCGACUCGCACAGUCGGGCUGACCAGUUAUCCGCUGAACAAAAACAGAUCAGAGAAGCUCAACUGUUUCCACUGAAGAUCCACAUCUAUCUCUGGAGAAGUUCUCUCGGGCAAACAUCGAGGGGCAACGAUCGCUGUAAGCAAACGGAAAAAAGCAACAUAAAGAGUGAGCCGAAAGGUUUGUUUGAAGAAAGGAUCAGAAAAAAAAACUGAUCCAAUCCAGACGCGAUCGGUGGACAGCGGGGAUGUGCGGUGUGGGUGGUACUGGGAGAGCUGAACUGGAGUGCAGCGUCCUGGAGGAGGACUGGCAGACAGGACAGAGCUACAUGGCUCACUGGCACAGCCUCACCCUCGUUCCACAGCAUCCCCACAGGACAGUGAUGGAGGCGGAGAGCUCGGAUAAACACUGGGAGGCCAGGAGGCUCCUGCGGAGAUUCCUCUCGGGGGCCAUCAGCAGGAAUUACACACAUCCCAAAACGCACCUGACCAGAAGACCCCAUCAGCUCAUCUCAGACCCUUCCACCAUGGGGCCGAAGGUGCAGCGAGGUCCAGCUCAUAUACAGAAGGAAGAAUAUUGUGCGACCACAAGAGCAAAGGGUGUCAGAGACGAGUGAGAGAGGAAGAGUGUGGUGAAGAUUCCUGGUAUAAAAGUUAUGUCUUGAUAAACAAGAUACAAAAUAUUCUUGUGUACCAUGUUGUCAGAUUGAUUCGUAAUAGAUUGUGUUUGUGACGAACCUUUUGGGUAAAAGCAUGUGGGAUAAUAAAAAAUUGUAACUGUUGCAGAGAGAUUGAAUCAUUAGCAUGAAAAUAAUUUAGAUCAAUGCUCACAAUGAUUAAUGUUUUUGGUACUUUCAGGCAAUUGUUUUGGAAUGUGAGUUGUAUCUUUAUUAUCUUUGUGUACUGUAAAGAAGACUGAGGUUAAAAAUGUCCAUGUAUGUAUUUCAUUAUUCUAAUAAAUCACUUUGCUGUCCAUCUGAACAU